rnacentral:tRNA from 1 species
GCCAAGGUGGCGGAGCGGCUACGCGGUUGACUGCAGGUCAACUUCACUCUGGUUCAAAUCCAGACCUUGGCU